GUGGGGAAUCUUAGACAAUGGGCGCAAGCCUGAUCUAGCCAUGCCGCGUGAGCGAUGAAGGCCUUAGGGUUGUAAAGCUCUUUCAGCUGGGAAGAUAAUGACGGUACCAGCAGAAGAAGCCCCGGCUAACUCCGUGCCAGCAGCCGCGGUAAUACGGAGGGGGCUAGCGUUGUUCGGAAUUACUGGGCGUAAAGCGCGCGUAGGCGGACUGAAAAGUUGGGGGUGAAAUCCCGGGGCUCAACCUCGGAACUGCCUUCAAAACUAUCAGUCUGGAGUUCGAGAGAGGUGAGUGGAAUUCCGAGUGUAGAGGUGAAAUUCGUAGAUAUUCGGAGGAACACCAGUGGCGAAGGCGGCUCACUGGCUCGAUACUGACGCUGAGGUGCGAAAGCGUGGGGAGCAAACAGGAUUAGAAACCCUUGUAGUCC
rnacentral:rRNA from 1 species